UAUGGCCAUACCACCCUGAACUCACCCAAUCUUGGAAGCUAAGCAGGGUCGGGCCUGGUUAGUACUUGGAUGGGAGAAAUCUGGUUUUGCUACUU
rnacentral:rRNA from 1 species